UACGUAGGAGGCAAGCGUUGUCCGGAAUUACUGGGCGUAAAGCGCGUGUAGGUGGUGGGACAAGUCUGCUGUGAAAGCGCCUGGCUUAACCGGGCGAGGUCGGCGGAAACUGUCCGACUAGAGGACGGUAGAGGGGGGUGGAAUUCCUGGUGUAGCGGUGAAAUGCGCAGAUAUCAGGAGGAACACCGAUGGCGAAGGCAGGUCUCUGGGCCACUACUGACGCUGAGAAGCGAAAGCAUGGGGAGCAAACAGG
rnacentral:rRNA from 1 species